CGUAGGUUCUGUGCCUGGGUGAGAGGAAAUAACUCUCCAUGCCAGCAGCCGGCGGUCAUCUAUUCAUCAUUCAAAAAGGGAAACCGGAUACAAACGUUGCUCUGAUACCUACAACUAAACAGUGUUUGCCUAAAUCAGCAGUGGCAGCACAGAGCCUAUAUGGUCCCUCUGCUUCUCUCACAUUGUUUUCAACCCUUUGUUAUAAACAGAGAGCGCCGUCUAGUGGGCUCAGAAAAUAAAGUAAAACUUAAUUUGGACAUACAGCAACUACCAACCAGACUGUUCAUCUCUCUGCUGGUCGGCUAGUUAGCUUGCUGGCUUGCUGGGGGGCUCAGUCUAGCACCAACCAGGGUGCUGAGAGAGACAUGUCUACGUCUCUAUAUUACAUUUUAUGGUAUAGGACAUUAUUUUAUUAUUUAUUAUUAUCAAUAUUAUUAUUAUUACUCCAACAAAGGUUUUGUCUUAAUAUCACAUCUUUAUCUCUUGUUCAGUGUAGCACAUGAGCACAUAGAUAACUUGUUCUUGAGUGGCAUCAAUUAUCAACAUAACCCAUGAAAUAAAGUCUUUGUGACAAACUGUGACCAACAGGAACAAAAUCAAAUAACAUAAGGAUUUACUACAAUACAUUCAUGUAAAUCUGA